rnacentral:rRNA from 1 species
GACGAACGCUGGCGGCGUGCCUAACACAUGCAAGUCGAACGGGGUAGAGAGCUUCGGUUUUCUACUUAGUGGCGAACGGGUGAGUAACGCGUGAGAAACCUGCCUUUCAGUGGGGGACAACAGUUGGAAACGACUGCUAAUACCGCAUAAUGUUAUUUGAGGGCAUCCUCGAAUAACCAAGCUUUAUGUGCUGAAAGAUGGUCUCGCGUCUGAUUAGCUAGUUGGCGGGGUAACGGCCCACCGAGGCGACGAUCAGUAGCCGGUCUGAGAGGAUGAACGGCCACAUUGGGACUGAGAUACGGCCCAGACUCCUACGGGAGGCAGCAGUGGGGAAUAUUGGGCAAUGGGGGAAACCCUGACCCAGCAACGCCGCGUGAAGGAAGAAGGCCUUCGGGUUGUAAACUUCUUUUAGCAGGGACGAAGAACGUGACGGUACCUGCAGAAAAAGCAACGGCUAACUACGUGCCAGCCGCCGCAGUAAGAC